CUCAUUAUAAAAAAAAAAAAAAACGAAUUCUAUAACAAUGCCCAAGUUGACUGUUGUUGUAUUAUUGGUCACAUUAUUGGCGAUUGGCUCUUUUGCUUGCGUACAACAUGGAGAUGACUGUACUAUGGGUGGUGAACCAUGUUGCAGUCCCUAUGGUUGCAGAAAAAAUUAUUUUGAUCGGUUAACAUGUGGCGUGACCCCCGAGACCUUUAAACAACAGAAUUUUGGUGGUGAUAUGUAUCAUCGCUAAGUCUACUUUUUAAUUCAUUUUAUUUCAGAUAUAAUAGUUAUUAAUAUAUUGUAAUGGUUAUUGUCUGAAUAAAAAUGAUUCCCACCAUAAA